AUGCCUACGAGCGCCUCCUGCUGGACGUGGUGUGCGGGAACCAAAUGCACUUCGUGCGCAGGUGGGGGCGGGGGGGGUUGGGGUGGGGGCUCUGUGGGGUCUGGGGGGGGUCCUAUGGGUCUGGGGGGUCCCUGUGUGUCCCUAUGGGGUCUCAAUGGGGUCCCUGUGUCCCUAUGUGUCCCUGUGGGGUCCCUAUGGGGUCUCUGUGUGUCCCUCUGUCCCUAUGUGUCCCAAUGGGGUCUCUAUGGGGUCCCCGUGUGUCCCUGUGUCCCUAUGGGGUCUCAAUGGGGUCCCUGUGUCCCUGUGGGUCCCAAUGGGGUCCCUAUGGGGUCCCUAUGGGGUCUCUAUGGGGUCUCUAUGUGUCCCUGUGUGUUUGUAUGGGGUCCCUGUGUCCCUGUGUGUCCCUAUGGGGUCCCUAUGGGGUCCCUGUGUGUCCCUGUGUCCCUAUGGGGUCUCUAUGGCGUCCCUGUGUCCCUAUGGGGUCUCAAUGGGGUCCCCGUGUGUCCCUAUGGGUCCCAAUGGGGUCCCUAUGGGGUCUCUAUGGGGUCUCUAUGUGUCCCUGUGUGUCCCUCUGUCCCUGUGUGUCCCUAUGGGGUCCCCGUGUGUCCCUGUGUCCCUAUGGGGUCUCUAUGGCGUCCCUGUGUCCCUGUGUGUCCCUAUGUGUCCCUAUGGGGUCCCUAUGGGGUCUCUGUGUGUCCCUGUGUCCCUAUGGGGUCUCAACGGGGUCCCUGUGUCCCUAUGGGUCCCAAUGGGGUCCCUAUGGGGUCCCUGUGUGUCCCUGUGUCUCUAUGGGGUCUCUAUGGGGUCUCUAUGUGUCCCUGUGUGUCCCUCUGUCCCCGUGUGUCCCUAUGGGGUCCCCAUGUGUCCCUGUGUCCCUGUGGGGUCUCAAUGGCAUCCCUGUGUCCCUGUGUGUCCCUAUGGGGUCCCUGUGUCCCUAUGGGGUCCCUAUGGGAUCUCUAUGGGGUCUCAAUGGGGUCCCCCUGUGUCCCUGUGUGUCCCUAUGGGGUCCCUAUGUGUCCCCGUGUCCCUGUGUGUCCCUGUGUCCCUAUGGGGUCCCUCUGGGGUCUCUAUAUGUUCCUAUAGGAUCUCCAUGGGGUCUCAGUGGGGUCCCUGUGUGUCCCUAUGGGGUCCCUGUGUCCCUGUGUGUCCCUAUGGGGUCCCUGUGUCCCUAUGGGGUCCCUGUGUGUCCCUCUGUCCCCGUGUCCCUCUGGGGUCUCAAUGGNNNNNNNNNNNNNNNNNNNNNNNNNNNNNNNGUCUCUCUGGGGUCCCUAUGGGGUCCCUCUGGGGUCUCAAUGGGGUCUCAGUGGGGUCACUAUGGGGUCUCAAUGGGGUCCCUGUGUGUCUCAAUGGGGUCUCAAUGGGGUCCCUGUGUAUCCCUAUGGGGUCCCUCUGGGGUCGCUCUGGGGUCUCAAUGGGGUUGCUAUGGGGUCUCAAUGGGGUCCCUAUGGUGUCGCUCUGGGGUCCCUCUGGGGUCCCUCUGGUGUCUCAAUGGGGUCUCAAUGGGGUCCCUGUGUAUCCCUAUGGGGUCUCAAUGGGGUCCCUAUGGGGUCGCUCUGGGGUCCCUCUGGGGUCCCUCUGGGUUCUCAGUGGGGUCGCUCUGGGGUCCCUAUGGGGUCUCAAUGGGGUCCCUGUGUGUCGCUCUGGGGUCCCUCUGGGGUCGCUCUGGGGUCCCUAUGGGGUCCCUAUGGGGUCCCUGUGUGUCUCAAUGG
ensembl:lncRNA